rnacentral:lncRNA from 1 species
AUAAAGAUACUUUCUUCUUAGUGUCUUUAUAUAUUUAGGUUUUUCCUUUGUUUUUAACCAAACCAAAUUGCUGACGCAGAAUUCCACUUAACUGAUGCAUAUUGUUGUCAUAGCUCUGAGAAUAGCUAACUAAACCAAUCUAACUCUAAAGGCAGCCAUCAUAAAUUGGAAAGCUCAUUCGACAAAAGGCUAUAUUCAAAAAAGGUUCAUGUAUAUGCCCAAUUAUACAAACAAUUGUGACAGACAUGUUCUUGUGUUUAUAAAUAUAUGCAGAUUGGCUCCUCGCAUGCAUCU